rnacentral:rRNA from 1 species
GUGUCCUAGGGGGGCAGCAGUGGGGAAUAUUGCACAAUGGGGGAAACCCUGAUGCAGCGACGCCGCGUGAGUGAAGAAGUAAUUCGUUAUGUAAAGCUCUAUCAGCAGGGAAGAAAAUGACGGUACCUGAGUAAGAAGCCCCGGCUAACUACGUGCCAGCAGCCGCGGUAAUACGUAGGGGGCAAGCGUUAUCCGGAUUUACUGGGUGUAAAGGGAGCGUAGACGGCAGUGCAAGUCUGGAGUGAAAGGCGGGGGUUCAACCCCCGGACUGCUCUGGAAACUGCACGGAUGGAGGG